AACGAACGCUGGCGGCGUGGAUAAGACAUGCAAGUCGAGCGGGAACUUUCGCUGUAGCAAUACAGUGAAAGUUCUAGCGGCGAACGGGUGCGUAACACGUGGACAAUCUGCCUUAAAGUGGGGGAUAGCUCGGCGAAAGCCGAAUUAAUACCGCAUGUGAUGAGAGACGACAUCGUCUUGAAAUCAAAGCCGGGGCAACCUGGCGCUUUUUGAGGAGUCCGCGGCCAUCAGCUUGUUGGUGAGGUAACGGCUCACCAAGGCUAUGACGGGUAGCUGGUCUGAGAGGACGACCAGUC
rnacentral:rRNA from 1 species